GAAGCUGUGAGUCUGUUAAUCAGGAGGAAGAGGAGCUGAGAGCUUCAGGGAGGAGCUGAGCUGUUACUGAACUAUAGAAGAGACACAAACUUCCACAUUCAACACAGUUCAAACAUUAACUCUGAUCAUCAUGCUGUCUUUGCUCACAUCUGGAUUUACUCUGCUGGUUCUGCUUAUAGGAACAGGUGUAAACUGUAAACAUCUCACUGCAGCAAAGACUGAGGAGUCUUCUUUAGAGGAACACUCUGUGACUCUGUCCUGCACUUACUCUCAAACUGCUGCUUAUAAUGAUUAUAUCUUCUGGUAUCGACAACUUCCUGGAAAACCUCCCCAGUACCUGGUCUCUCAUUCAGGAACAGGAGAUAAAGUCCAGGAUCCAGUUCCUGGUUUCUCAUUCAGAGUCAAUGAUGAUAAAACCCAGAUGGAGCUGCUGAUCUCCUCUGCUGCAGUGACUGACUCUGCUGUGUACUACUGUGCUGUGAGGCCCACAGUGACAGGAAACACCAGAACUCUGUACAAGAACCUGCAAUACUCCACAACAUCCACUAGAGGGCCUCACACACUGUUCCUCCUCUAUGGUUUGUUAGGAUUCAGUCUGAUUGUUUGUGCAGCUGAGAAUAAAGCAGACAUCAGAGUGUUUGCUGCAUCAUUGAACUCUUUAUGAUGAGAAGGUUUGGAUCAUAAAGGAGGGAUGAUGGAGGCUCCAGGAUGGAAGUGCAGCCUCUGCAGGACAUCAGCACCAUGGACAGAGUUCUGUUCCACCAUCUAGAUGUGUUUCAGUCCAGUUAGGCCCUGCUGUCAGACCACUGAUCUUUUAAAUAAAGAUUUAUCUCCACAGGCUAAAACCUCAUGAUGCAUUUCAUUA